rnacentral:rRNA from 1 species
UGCUUACACAUGCAAGUCGAACGAUGAAGCCCUUCGGGGUGGAUUAGUGGCGAACGGGUGAGUAACACGUGGGCAAUCUGCCCUGCACUCUGGGACAAGCCCUGGAAACGGGGUCUAAUACCGGAUGACACUCUCAUGGGCAUCUGUGAGGGUUGAAAGCUCCGGCGGUGCAGGAUGAGCCCGCGGCCUAUCAGCUUGUUGGUGAGGUAGUGGCUCACCAAGGCGACGACGGGUAGCCGGCCUGAGAGGGCGACCGGCCACACUGGGACUGAGACACGGCCCAGACUCCUACGGGAGGCAGCAGUGGGGAAUAUUGCACAAUGGGCGAAAGCCUGAUGCAGCGACGCCGCGUGAGGGAUGACGGCCUUCGGGUUGUAAACCUCUUUCAGCAGGGAAGAAGCGAAAGUGACGGUACCUGCAGAAGAAGCGCCGGCUAACUACGUGCCAGCAGCCGCGGUAAUACGUAGGGCGCAAGCGUUGUCCGGAAUUAUUGGGCGUAAAGAGCUCGUAGGCGGUUUGUCACGUCGGAUGUGAAAGCCCGGGGCUUAACCCCGGGUCUGCAUUCGAUACGGGCAGACUAGAGUGUGGUAGGGGAGAUCGGAAUUCCUGGUGUAGCGGUGAAAUGCGCAGAUAUCAGGAGGAACACCGGUGGCGAAGGCGGAUCUCUGGGCCAUUACUGACGCUGAGGAGCG